rnacentral:rRNA from 1 species
GGAGGAUCCGAGCGUUAUCCGGAUUUAUUGGGUUUAAAGGGAGCGUAGAUGGGUUGUUAAGUCAGUUGUGAAAGUUUGCGGCUCAACCGUAAAAUUGCAAUUGAUACUGGCGUCCUUGAGUACAGUUGAGGUGGGCGGAAUUCGUGGUGUAGCGGUGAAAUGCUUAGAUAUCACGAAGAACUCCUAUUGCGAAGGCAGCUCACUAAACUGCAACUGACAUUGAGGCUCGAAAGUGUGGGUAUCAAA